AGUGGGGAAUAUUGGACAAUGGGCGCAAGCCUGAUCCAGCCAUGCCGCGUGAGUGAUGACGGCCUUAGGGUUGUAAAGCUCUUUCGCUCGCGACGAUAAUGACGGUAGCGAGAGAAGAAGCCCCGGCUAACUUCGUGCCAGCAGCCGCGGUAAUACGAAGGGGGCUAGCGUUGUUCGGAAUCACUGGGCGUAAAGCGCACGUAGGCGGAUUGUUAAGUCGGGGGUGAAAUCCUGAGGCUCAACCUCAGAACUGCCUUCGAUACUGGCGAUCUUGAGUCCGGAAGAGGUUGGUGGAACAGCGAGUGUAGAGGUGAAAUUCGUAGAUAUUCGCUAGAACACCAGUGGCGAAGGCGGCCAACUGGUCCGGUACUGACGCUGAGGUGCGAAAGCGUGGGGAGCAAA
rnacentral:rRNA from 1 species